rnacentral:rRNA from 1 species
AACGAACGCUGGCGGCAUGCCUAACACAUGCAAGUCGAACGGGAUCCUAGCUUGCUAGGUGAGAGUGGCGGACGGGUGAGUAACACGUGGGAAUCUGCCUUUUGGUUCGGGAUAACCGCGGGAAACUGCGGCUAAUACCGAAUGCCCUCGCGAGAGGAAAGAUUUAUCGCCAGAAGAGGAGCCCGCGUCCGAUUAGGUAGUUGGUGGGGUAAAGGCCUACCAAGCCGACGAUCGGUAGCUGGUCUGAGAGGAUGAUCAGCCACACUGGGACUGAGAUACGGCCCAGACUCCUACGGGAGGCAGCAGUGGGGAAUAUUGGACAAUGGGGGCAACCCUGAUCCAGCAAUGCCGCGUGAGUGAUGAAGGCCUUAGGGUUGUAAAGCUCUUUUGCCAGGGAAGAUGAUGACUGUACCUGGAGAAUAAGCCCCGGCUAACUUCGUGCCAGCCGCCGCCGUAAAAC